GACAGAGGCCUCGAGCGUUAGGCGGAAUCACUGGGCUUAAAGCGCGUGUAGGCGGAUCGUUAAGUGCCUUGUGAAAUCCUGCGGCUCAACCGCAGAACUGCUGGGCAUACUGGCGAUCUUGGGCCACUCAGGGGUCACUGGAACAAGCGGUGGAGCGGUGAAAUGCGUAGAUAUCAUUUGGAACGCCAAUGGUGAAAACAGGUUGCUGGGAGUGUGCUGACACUGAGACACGAAAGCCAGGGGAGCAAACGGG
rnacentral:rRNA from 1 species